rnacentral:rRNA from 1 species
AAUGGGGGAUAACGUAGCGAAAGUUACGCUAAUACCGCAUAUGCCCUGAGGGGGAAAGGUGGGGAUCGCAAGACCUAUCGUUUUCGGAGUGGCCGAUAUCAGAUUAGCUAGUUGGUGGGGUAAAGGCCCACCAAGGCGACGAUCUGUAGCGGGUCUGAGAGGAUGAUCCGCCACACUGGGACUGAGACACGGCCCAGACUCCUACGGGAGGCAGCAGUGGGGAAUUUUGGACAAUGGGGGCAACCCUGAUCCAGCCAUGCCGCGUGAGUGAAGAAGGCCUUCGGGUUGUAAAGCUCUUUCAGCCGGAAAGAAAUCGCGCAGGCUAAUAUCCUGCGUGGAUGACGGUACCGGAAGAAGAAGCACCGGCUAACUACAUGCCAGCAGCCGCGGUAAUACGUAGGGUGCGAGCGUUAAUCGGAAUUACUGGGCGUAAAGCGUGCGCAGGCGGUUUUGUAAGACAGGCGUGAAAUCCCCGGGCUUAACCUGGGAACUGCGUUUGUGACUGCAAGGCUAGAGUGUGGCAGAGGGGGGUAGAAUUCCG